rfam:Daucus carota subsp. sativus cultivar DH1 chromosome 8, whole genome shotgun sequence.
GGACACUGAUGAUUGUGAUUGGUCUCGUUCGUCAUAACGGUGAAUUUUCACCUUGCCGACCAUCCUGUUAUAUCACCACCCAUAAACUGAGUCC